CUGCCGCGUAGGUGCUGCUUUUGCUCAAAGAGACGCCAAGUGGUUGAAGAACUCUGGGCUGCCGACGCACUGCCGCACGGUGACCUAAAUAGAGGGACCAGGCCCUGCUGGGUCGUUUGUUCUGCCUUCCCUACCUGGAAGGAAUGAGUGUUCGGGCAAGGAGGACCCUUGGCGAAGGAAGCUGGAAAGGACACUUUCUCCCGAGCAGGGUGUUGGCUCUCUCUCAGGUGAGGAGACAUUGAUGGCUCUCAAGGGAUGUCUCAAGUUGAUCACUGUCACCUUCAGCUGGUCUACCGGACCUGGGGCAUCAUCCGGCGCGAAAUCUCCCGCAGGAAACGUCACAACCCGCUUCUGACACG